rnacentral:lncRNA from 1 species
GUGUGUAACACUUCCCCCUUUGUGCUCUCUCUCUCUCUCUCUCUCUCUCUCUCUCCUGUAAGCGGGAAACAUGCUUGCUUCCCCUUUGCUUUCCAUCAUGAUUGUAAGCUACCUGAGCACCGCCCCCACCCAGCCAUGCCUCCUGUACAGCCUGUGGAAGUGUAAGUUAAUAAAAGAGCCCAGUCUCAGAUAUUAUGGAAUAUGAAAACACACAAAAUGUCUAUACAGUCAAGAUAACCUGUGGAAAAAUAAUGAAGACAGUGGAGGAAAGGCAAAAUGGUAAAGAAGAGAAGAGAGAGAAACAAAAUAAUCAUUUUCCAGCCUACCUAAAAUAAUAACCUGGACUUUCAUAAAACUGGCAUAUCUUCUGUUUUACAUGGAAAAUUAUUUUAUCUUAAGUUUCCAUUUAGUUGAUUAAAAAUAGGGUUAUGAAUGUUAAAUAAGUGAUGAUUUAUUGCAAAGGAAAUAUGUUUCGAAAGGUCGAAUAAUGUCUGUAACAAUAAAAGGCAAACUAAAUGAUUUUCUGUUUUCAAUCCUUUGAUGAAUAGUUAGAUUAAGUAAGACCUAUAUUAUGCUUUCUUUUUUAUUCUCAUAUCUAAAUAAUGCUUAUGACCAACUGAACUCACACUUUUCAGAUCCCUGUCCAACUUGACCUCU